AUAGCAAUGAUCCCUAAAGUCAUUUUGUAAACCUUAUUAAUUCCACAUGUCCUCAAACACUGCUAAAUUUAAGUAUGUAUGUAUUUCUAGCAUUUAAACUUUACCCUUCGGUACACCAAUAAUGUUAUUAUCAUGCAUUGUGAAUUACUAUAGUAAUACCUUUGUGAAAUUUAUUUAUCAUUUAUAUAUUGAGGUAUAGCAAAAUGUGUUU